rnacentral:rRNA from 1 species
AGAGUUCGUUCCUGGCUCAGAAUAAACGCUGGCGGCGUGUCUUAAGCAUGCAAGUCGGACGGCAAGCCGCCUUCGGGCGGCCUAGAGUGGCGGACUGGUGAGUAACACGUGGGUGAUAUACCUUUUGGACGGGGAUAGCCCCUAGAAAUAGGGGGGUAAUACCGGAUAAGGCCGUGCGGGUUGGAGCCGCACGGGGAAAGGCGCUAUGGCGCCGCCGAAAGAAUAGCCUGCGACCUAUCAGCUUGUUGGUGAGGUAAAGGCCCACCAAGGCGAUGACAGGUAUCCGGCCUGAGAGGGUGAACGGACACAUUGGGACUGAGAUACGGCCCAGACUCCUACGGGAGGCAGCAGCUAAGAAUAUUCCGCAAUGGAGGAAACUCUGACGGAGCAACGCCGCGUGGACGAUGAAGGCCGGAAGGUUGUAAAGUCCUUUUAUAAUUGAGGAAUAAGCGGGACAGGGAAUGGUUCCGCGGUGACUGUAGAUUAUGAAUAAGCACCGGCUAAUUACGUGCCAGCAGCCGCGGUAACACGUAAGGUGCGAGCGUUAUUCGGAAUUAUUGGGCGUAAAGGGCACGCAGGCGGCUUUGCAAGCUUGGUGUGAAAUCUCAGGGCUCAACCCUGAAACUGCAUUGAGAACUGCAUGGCUAGAGUUAGUGAGGGGAAACCGGAAUUCCAGGUGUAGGGGUGAAAUCUGUAGAUAUCUGGAAGAACACCAAUGGCGAAGGCAGGUUUCCAGCACAUAACUGACGCUCAGGUGCGAAGGUGCGGGGAUCAAACAGGAUUAGAUACCCUGGUAGUCCGCACAGUAAACG